GACAGAGGGUGCAAACGUUGUUCGGAAUUACUGGGCGUAAAGCGCGUGUAGGCGGCCCUGCAAGUCGGGUGUGAAAUCCCACGGCUCAACCGUGGAAGUGCACUCGAAACUGCAGGGCUAGAGUCCUGGAGAGGAAGGUGGAAUGCUUGGUGUAGAGGUGAAAUUCGUAGAUAUCAAGCGGAACACCGGUGGCGAAGGCGGCCUUCUGGACAGUGACUGACGCUGAGACGCGAAAGCGUGGGGAGCAAACAGGGAUUAAGAA
rnacentral:rRNA from 1 species